UCUUCUCCCGAUUACUUCCUCUUCCCUAAUUCCUUCGUCACCCUCCUUCGCGAUCUUGCCUCACCGCCACCCACCUUCCGAUUGCCAGCCAACUUCUCUUGUGUGAGUCCAGACAGCAACUCCUUCAGCUAUGUCCCUCUCGCAAGCUUCCUUUCUUCCCUAGCGUCGCCCUCGCCUGAUCACUGUCUCCAAAUCAGGUCGACGCUGUGCGGCUCACAGCCGACCGAGCCUUCCAUCCCCACCACCGAUCGCCUAAGUUCAUCUAGCUGUUGUCCUCUCUGACUCGUCACCCCUGCGCAAGUUGGUCUUCGGCCAAAAGGGGGCCCGAGCCUUCUCUCAAUCCCACCUAUGUCGUGCCCUAGAUGCUUACCACCAUGCUAUAACCAUCACUGACUGCUGCCCUUUUUCCAUCUUCGAUCUAUUUCCGCUCGUCAUGGGAGGCGCCGUCACCGGCUAUUGUGGGAAAUGCCAUCACUCUCUCUCCCACUCACUUACGGAUCCGAGCAAAGCAGCAAUCAUUGGCACUGGAGAGGUCGCUACUGUUGGUACCUCUUCUCCACCUCGUUGACACCAUUGCUGCUCUUGAUUCUAGCGAGCAAUUGGUUUCCCCUCCGGUAGAGAUGGGAAAGAAGAAAUUGGUUUCUCCUCUGGAAGAAACAAGCUGUAAGAAUGCCUGUAGUUACUGGAUCAGCCAUUGUAGCCUCGACCCUACUUCCAGUAACAGCUUCGCAGUAGCAUCGACCAUGAAUUUCUGGUUGCAAGCUUCUCCGGUCAUGAAUCAACAAUGGUGUAAUCGGAUUUUGAUAAGUCAUGAAGGUAAUUUCGUA